UUCUCAUUUGAGCGGCAACACGUCCAUUGACUUCCUCUGCUUCUCUACCGCCUCUGUAUUUAGGUUGUAACGCUCAUAAAGACUUUUCAAGUUUCCAUAAUUUUUUGAAAUCAUCUUCCAAAAUAUGAAACACAUCAAAGCGAUUCAAGAACAUCAAAAUCCUCUGGCUCCCCUUUCUCUCUCUGGCGAUUCAAGAACCCCAAAGCGAUUUCACCAGAUCUAUGAAGAUUUCACAAGAUCCAAUUGAUUUGAGAUCUAAAUGAUUUCAGAUCUUCAUUGACCGUCUCUUAUUUUCGUCUCAUCUCAGACCAAGCGUUUGUUUAAAUGUCUCAAUGAAAGUUUUGAAUAGAACAUCAUCAAAAAGCUAUGUUGCAUUCUUGAAUAUGCAAGAGCUUACAACACAGAUCAUCAGUCAAGGCUGCUGCUUGAAGCACCUUCCAUGAUGGUUGAAACCAGGUUUGCACAUAUGAUAGUGGACAAUGCAAUUGCCCUUUAUAGAACUGUUUUCUCUGGUAGAGGGGAACUAUCGGCCCGUCUGAUGCAUCUUGCAAAGUUCUUGAGGAGCCUUCAGAAGCUGGCAGAUGAGUUUGGAUUAGCUUUGGUGAUCACUAAUCAAGUGGUGGCUCAAGUAGAUAAAAAAAUGUGUUUCUAUGAUGGAUGGCUUAAGGUUAUACAUGAUCUUCGCUUGCCUCGAUGUUAUGUCGGUCUUCAUUUGAAGCACAGUUACUCGGUAUCGUUAGUUGUCAAAGGUUGAUAAAAAAUGUGUUUCUAUGAUGGAUGGCUUAAGGUUAUACAUGAUCUUCGCUUGGACGUUGAUUGUGUCUUAGUUUUCGAGCGAAUUGGUAAUUUCACCCUUAUUAAGAGAAAAAACUCAUUACAAACAAUGAAUUGCCCUUAAAUGGAAUGGAAAAUGAAAUUGCGCGUAGAAAUGGAUCGUGGGAUGUGGUCAUGGGAUGGCGUGAGUUCAUGGAUGACAAUCAUAUAGUUGUUGGUUAUCGAUGGAUGCUGAAGUUAAGAAAGCUUCGUAUUCCACACUGGUUUGUUGGACUGGUCACUACGGCGGUAGCGUUGAUGGCGUUGGUUGUUCUACAAGUAGGAACCACCAUCAAAACAGGCUCUUCACCGGUGGCAGAAGAUGGUAUAAGAUGGGAAAGGUUAAGUUUCGAGUAAUUUGUUAAGAUGCCUGAUGGUGUAAGCCAAAAACAUCAUCUUUAUUUCUUGUAGGAAAUGUGCUGUAGGUCAUCAAGAUCUAGAAAACACAAACUGUAGAGGAGAUAAAAGAGGCGGUGAAAGGGAAGGCGAAGUUGAAUAUGGCUCUUAGAUGAUAGACGUUCUUCUUUUCGAACCAUCUCAUACACAAGUUCUACAGCCUUGAUGGAGUACUCUCACCUAAAUUAGUAAAGCUUCCUUACCUCCGGUAACUUAAAUGCCGAACUUUUUAUAUACUCAAAAUCUAAUGAAACUUAAGUAUAUCCUGUUCUAUUUUCAAAGAUUUUGCUUACAAUUACUUAAGUGGCACAAUACCACCUGAAUGGGGUUCAACACAGUCACAAGAAAUGUGAAAUCUCUGUUUUACCCUUGAGUUCCAUAGUUUUUAUUCUAUUAGAACUAAAAGUUGUGAACUUUGAAGUUUGAACAUAUCCUUCCAUAUGCACCUCUCUUCUUUGUAACCGUUUAACCGGAUCAAUCCCAUUGGAACUGGGCAAUAUCACCACCCUCACACAACUUAACCUUGAAGCAAACCAGCUUUCAGGAACGGUUCCAUCUGCGUUAGGGAGAUUAACAAAUUUGGAUUCAUUGUAAGGCUGAUUAAGUUUUUCAGUUCCAAAUUUUCUUCCUUUAAUUAAAUUAUUUAUGCCAUGAUAUUAAAUUACAGGAUGUUGUCUUCAAACAUGUUGACCGGAAGGCUGCCAAGUGCCAACAACCCUUGGUCAACUAGGAAAUCUAACAGAUUUCGCUCAACGGUUGAAUGACUUGGGUGAAGAAUCAACCAGACUUCCUCCCUUCCUCUCUGGAUGUAGCGCCCAACGGUUGAAUGACUUGGGUGAAGAAUCAACCAGACUUCCUCUCUUCCUCUCUUGAGGUUGGUAAGUAUUGCUUAAAUUAAUAGAAGUCAUCGAUCUAUCAUUGUCGAAACUAGAGUUGGCAAAUUGUGCAGGAUGGGUCAAAAUGGGUCGGAGCGGUUGUAAGCCUAUCAAUACUUUUUAUGUCCAUUUUGUAUAUACUUUAGACUACUAUUUCUUUUUAGCUAAUUUUCCUUCCACAUUCGACCCGUUAUCAAGGAAGUAUCUUUUAAUUUUUUUUAUCA